AGGUUUCUCAACAGAAGGACCAGUUCCCUACAGUCAUUCAAGCGAAAAUCCGUUGUCAUAAUGGUAUCAAGUGAAGAAACAGCAGCGCCUAUUUUAAUAUUCGCUCAUUGCUGGUUCUCCUACGGUGUCUUUAAAUCUGUCGACAUCUUAGAUACAGCUGGAUCUGAUGAUUUCCCGGUAAUGAGAAAACUGAGAAUAAAACGAGGAGAUGCCUUCGUCAUCGUCUACUCGGUCGAUGACAUGAAUUCAUUCGUCAACAUCAAACGUUAUUACGAACAAAUCAGUCAGGAGAAAGGAACAACAGUAGUGCCAAUCAUUUUAGUGGGAAAUAAAAUGGACACAACCAGCCGCCAAGUUUCAACUGAAAUGGCUACCAGACUCGCCAAGGAGGACCUUAAGUGUUUUUAUCUAGAAACCAGUGCUAAAUGUAACCUGAAUGUUGAAAAUAUGUUCAACAUACUAUUUUUGAAAGCAAUAGUCGCUCCAGUGGAGCUUUCAAAAACCAAACACUCUGGAAAAAGACAAAGGAAACGUUCUUUAAAUUUUUUCAUUAGGCAUAAUUCAAAGAAUGGGCAAUCGCGAAAAACCGAAGAUGUGUCCAAAUCGACCUUAAAUAAGGACAAAGUUCAAACAAGAAGACACUCAAUUCAUACGUUUCUUGACAUUGCAGACACAAAAAACAUCGAAACGAUUCCCAGACGUAUUAGUUUUAACGUCUAAUUGGUGCGAGAACAAUCAGAUCGGCAUUUCGAGAUAUAUUAUAUUAUAUUUGCGCAAGUAUUGUUUACAGACGUUAUAUAUAUAAAAAUAUAUAUUUAUGUCAGUGAGGGAGAACAUACAAGUCAAAUGACUCUAAAAAAAAUAAACAAACAGCAAAUUCUA